rnacentral:rRNA from 1 species
CAGUCGCCACGGUAAUACGUAGGUGGCAAGCGUUAUCCGGAAUUAUUGGGCGUAAAGCGCGCGUAGGCGGUUUCUUAAGUCUGAUGUGAAAGCCCACGGCUCAACCGUGGAGGGUCAUUGGAAACUGGGAAACUUGAGUGCAGAAGAGGAAAGUGGAAUUCCAUGUGUAGCGGUGAAAUGCGCAGAGAUAUGGAGGAACACCAGUGGCGAAGGCGACUUUCUGGUCUGUAACUGACGCUGAUGUGCGAAAGCGUGGGGAUCAAACAGGAUUAGAUACCCCAGUAGUCCCUGUCUCUUAUAC